AGAGUUUGAUCAUGGCUCAGGACGAACGCUGGCGGCGUGCUUAACACAUGCAAGUCGAACGGAUCUGUUGUGGUGCUUGCACUGCGGCGGGUUAGUGGCGAACGGGUGAGUAACACGUGAGGAACCUGCCCCAGAGUUCGGGAUAACCCGGGGAAACUCGGGCUAAUACCGGAUGCCCUUUUUCGGUCGAUGGCCGGUUGAGGAAAGAUUUAUCGCUUUGGGAGGGUCUCGCGGCCUAUCAGCUUGUUGGUGAGGUAAUGGCUCACCAAGGCUUCGACGGGUAGCUGGUCUGAGAGGACGAUCAGCCACACUGGGACUGAGACACGGCCCAGACUCCUACGGGAGGCAGCAGUGGGGAAUCUUGCGCAAUGGGCGAAAGCCUGACGCAGCGACGCCGCGUGGGGGAUGAAGGCCUUAGGGUCGUAAACCCCUUUCAGCAGGGACGAAGAUGACGGUACCUGCAGAAGAAGCCCCGGCCAACUACGUGCCAGCAGCCGCGGUAAGACGUAGGGGGCGAGCGUUGUCCGGAAUUAUUGGGCGUAAAGGGCUCGUAGGCGGUUCGGUAAGUCGGAUGUGAAAACUUGGGGCUCAACCCUGAGACGCCAUCCGAUACUGCUGUGACUUGAGUUCGGUAGAGGAGUGUGGAAUUCCUGGUGUAGCGGUGAAAUGCGCAGAUAUCAGGAGGAACACCUACGGCGAAGGCAGCACUCUGGGCCGAUACUGACGCUGAGGAGCGAAAGCGUGGGUAGCAAACAGGAUUAGAUACCCUAGUAGUCC
rnacentral:rRNA from 1 species